CCGCCCCCUCCGGCUCUCCGAUCCGGACCUGGCCCUCACCUCAGGAUUCCCAAUGUGCCUCCGGACAGACAUAUUUGCUCCAACCGACCACGCUGGGAUUCUAGCCUCACCGGAUUUAUAUAGAACAGUACUCUGCCACAGCUCUAGUUCCAAGAGGACUCUGAGGAGCCAACCUGGAUCUCAGAAUGGUCUGCCCCAGGGCAUGGAGGAGGAGUCAGUGGUAAGGUAUCUAUGUGACUCUGGGCACAGAGGACAGCUAGAGACCCCACGCCCCAUGAAAAGGCCCAGAGGCACAGGACUGGCCUGAGACUGAGGCUAGACCAGGAGAAUCAAGGACCACAACCUGCCUUCCAACACAGCCUAGCAACAAACAGCAAGCAGUCUGUUGCUGAGGAGGAAGCAAGACUGGAGAGAAACCCUACCGACUGGUGCAAAUAUGCAGGAUUGUUUGGAUCUUAUGGGCCCCUUGCAUUUCCAUUUGAAUUUUAGGAUCACCUUGUCAAUUUGUGCAAAAAAGGCAUUUGGGAUUUUGACAGGGAUUGCAUUGAUAGGGAAGUAUUGCCAUCUUAACCCUAAUA